rnacentral:lncRNA from 1 species
UUGAUUGAGUAGAUUUAAUUAAAUGCUUGUUCGUUUAAUUAAUCUUGUUGAAUAAGGUUAGUCAUCUCUUGGUAAGGGAGUGACUAACUGGUUGAGUUGUUUAGUGAUAAUGUUGUUGUUUAGGGAUCUUGGCCAUAUAGGCCGAUCUCAUGGUUGUGAUGUUGAUACUAUGGGUCCUAUGCCAUAUAGGCUGGACUACGAGUAUUAGUUGAUAUUUUCGUAGACUCCUAUAUAUUGUUUAGUUUUGGGUUGGAGUCUUGUGUCGAGUGUGUGUUAUGCCGACAGCAGUUGCGAAACCCGCCCAUGCUAGGUAUGUUUUGGGGUGGACUAGUGUUUCCUCGCCCUCGUAUUCAGCGGGUUCAAGGAAACCCCUUAUUCGUUGGAUCGGGAAGACUCAGAUAGACGGGGUCAUGGCCUAUGGCUGAGUG